GACGAACGCUGGCGGCGUGCUUAACACAUGCAAGUCGAACGGUGAAGGGAUCAGCUUGCUGGUUCUGGAUGAGUGGCGAACGGGUGAGUAACACGUGAGUAACCUGCCCCCUUCUUCUGGAUAACCGCAUGAAAGUGUGGCUAAUACGGGAUAUUCUGCGCCUGCUGCAUGGUGGGUGUGGGAAAGAUAUUGUUUCGGUGGGGGAUGGGCUCGCGGCCUAUCAGCUUGUUGGUGGGGUGAUGGCCUACCAAGGCGGUGACGGGUAGCCGGCCUGAGAGGGUGGACGGUCACACUGGGACUGAGACACGGCCCAGACUCCUACGGGAGGCAGCAGUGGGGAAUAUUGCACAAUGGGCGCAAGCCUGAUGCAGCGACGCCGCGUGAGGAAUGGAGGCCUUCGGGUUGUGAACCUCUUUCGCCAGUGAAGCAGGCCUGUCCCUUGUGGGUGGGUUGACGGUAGCUGGAUAAGAAGCGCCGGCUAACUACGUG
rnacentral:rRNA from 1 species